UGAUUGUGUGCGUCAUUCCCCAGUGUUCCCAGCCAGCCAAUCCUUUCUCACAUUUCAUGUCCUGCCCAACCCCGAUAUGUCUCCUCCUCAUUCAGUGCUUCCUCUUCACACAUCUCUGGGCAGCUACAAAAGGCAGGUCCCUGAAAGGACAGGGCCUUUUUCCCCAUGGUUCCCUGCUGGUUCUUUGUGGCCAUGCUGGCCCCUGUGGUGUUGGCUCUGGAACAGUCCCCAGACACAGUGAUACGACAAGGCCAGUCCACGAAUCUGAGCUGUUCCGAGAAGAAAUCCUCCAACACGGUUAUGUACUGGUUCAAGCUGCCUUUGGGGAAGGACUCCAGGCUAAUCCUAGUGGCUUCUGCAAUAGAAGGUACUAAAGCAAACGUUGAGGAGGAAUUCCGCAGCCGUUUCAGCAGCAGUGAGAUACAAGGAGACAGCGUGACCCUCUUGAUACAGCGUGCCUUUCUCAAUGACUCGGGCAUGUAUUACUGUGCUGAGAGUGAAACACAGUGGCUAGGCUGCUGAGGGAGCUGAGCGCAAAACUCCUGCUGCACAAAAGGGACCUGCUUUCCUCCUUGUUGGUGCUGCACAAGGCAGGAUGAUCCCUUUCCACUCAUUACCUCCUCUGCUUCCUAGCCUUCCCUUCCUCCUCUUCUCAGACUCUGUGAGUUUAUUUGCCCUGCUUUCUCUCCUUGCCACCCCACUCCUCCUUGCCUCCCUCUUCGUUUAACUCUCAUUUCCAUUAUAUUCACUUCCGUCAAUGCUUCUUCCCCUCUCUGCCUCCCUUUCUCUCCCCACCUUCUUCUGUCUGUCUUCAAUCUGCACUCCACAGGCUUCCUCUAACUCCAGCCAACCCUGCUCAUCCUUCUCGCUGUCAAACAGAAAGGAUGUUCGUGUGAGAAGUUCUUGGUGCACCUUUAGAUACAGGCAAGGCCAGGCAGGGGGUGUAAUAGCCAGUACCAAGUGGGAGCUGCCCACAUGCUCCUGUGUUACAACGACCUAUUUGAGGUUAUUCUGCAGCCAAGGGAUACGUGCAGCACAGCACAGGCCUGCGCCUACUCAGGUAGGCUGUUAUGUAGACCACUAACUCCUCCGUGUACAGUGGUCUCCAGGUCAGGAUCGCUACCUUCCACCCCUUGAUCCACCUAGACUUUACCUUUCCCAAAAAUAUUACAUAAAUCACAGAUUGUUAACAAGCUGUGCAGCUAACUGAAAGUUUCCUGACUGGUUAGAGUGUUCUCUCUGUCAUAACGUACAGCAGUGUGCGGCACAAGCCGGCACGGGGCAGGUUCCCACACUGCAGCUUCUCAUGUUAACAUGCUGGCUUCUCAAGCCCUAAGCACAAGGCCCAACAGAGCAGGCAUGGCCUGUUCGGAUCACUAGCUCCUCGAACACCACGUGUUCUGCAAGGCUCCCAAUGCACUGCCCUGCCACCUGCACAUCCUGGGGAACCCCAUGGGAAAUGGAGACCCCUCCCAUGGACACAUCAGGCACAGCCUCCUCUCAGCUGGAGUGCUGGGAGUGUUGGGGAGGGUGUUCUUCCUGUUGCCCGCACAAUUUAGCCCACCGUCUUUGUUCGUUUCUCCCUUUCCUUCUGAGGAAUCCGGGGUCAUUCCUGAAUCUCCCGUAGGCAGUUUGUGGAAAUGAAUGCAAUGGGACACACUUGGACCUGCAACAGAGGGCCUGGGAGCUGGAGGCGUUGCUGCAACCUUCUGCUAAAAGGACACAGAGGAACGUCUUCACUGCAAAGCCCAUGACACCCUUGAGCAGCUGGAUCGUGCGCUCUCUGGUAUGGGCCGGCCUUCCACUGUGUGCAUUGCUGAGCCCACUGCUCAUACAGUGAAUACCCUUCUCAGAAAUCACUCUGUGGUGCAGUCUCCCGAGAGGCAGUCCCAGUGCAGAGCCAAAAGCAGCCUUUUCUCUGCUUGAGA